AGAUGUCUAUGGGUUAAGACGGUAACCACUUACCAUUAAAUAUUUUUGUUGGAGCACAUUCACUGAAUCCUCAGUGAAAUAAUGUGUCUGUU
rnacentral:sRNA from 1 species